rnacentral:lncRNA from 1 species
AAAUGAUAAAUUUCUAUUUAUUACAAGAUGAAUUAACUUAUACAUCUCUAGAGGUACAUUUUCUUUUCAUGUCAUUCAAAAAUUCCAUAUAGAAAAAUAUACUGAUUCAGAGAACAAUUAAAACAUAAUGACGUUCAAAUUAAUACAGAAGACAUUAUUAACUUGAAAUACACAUUUUGAAGAUGAUUUUUAAAUAACUAAUUUUUAACUUUAUCAUGCACACUGUUAAUUUUCAGUUGAAAUUAUUUCACAAUUAACUUGGACUUAAUAAAAUGACAUUCAUAUUCCCAUCUAAACCAUUUAUCCUCGGGGUAUGGUUUGAAGCUAUUCGCUUAUUAUUUUAAGCAGUUAUAACAAUAGGAUUAUAUGAA